rnacentral:lncRNA from 1 species
GCUAGUGGGAGAGAAAGAUGUGACCAACUCUGACUGUGAACUGCACACAGAAAUAACACUUCACUUGCAGACCAAGCAUUUAAUUGUUGUUUAAAGACCCUUCAAAUAGCUUUCUACUGUGUGUCAUCAGUAGCAGCAUAGGAAGCUACAUUGGAUGUAUUUAAAUGAUUUGAAGACGAGACACCUUAUGAUCUUAAAAAAUCAAGAAACUGGUUUCAAAUCAUCAUCAUCACUUCCAGCAGUGACAUCAUAGCUAAGUAUUUUGUGUGUUUACAUAUAUUAUGGUCCAGAAUCCCAGUGAAUGAAGAUGUGAAAAAUGAAUUCUAGAAAGAUGAAACAUGACAAGACUUUAAAAGAAUGUUUUAAAAGACAGAGAAAUCGCUAGCCUAAUUGGUAGGUAACUUGAUAUAAAGUUAACUUCUUCACUUCAGGUCUCAAGAAUGUGCACCAAAGUGAGUCCCAGAGGUUGCUAUGGCAAUGGAGGUAAACCUGAUUAGGUUAGAACGUGCCUGAAGGUCCCUGUAACAGCAGCCACACAAGAGAAAAGCAUGAGCCCAGGCGAACCUGCUGCUUCAACUGCUCCCUCAAUCCCGCCCUCUUCAAUUGAGGAGCUGCCCUCCACUAAAGGAAGACAUCAAGUCCUGGAGGCAAGGAAGGCCUGUAUUUAAAGAGGCACUGACUUUAGGCAGCUGUGACUCCUCUAUCCCUUUAUCCUCUAUAACAGAAACAACUCUCAAGAAAUUCUCCGAAAUGAAAAUAACCUCAGCUGAGGAACUUCAAUUUGGAGAGACUGGAUGUGUUCAGUUUAGGACAGAAAAUGUUAUGAGAUACCACAGAUCUAUGAACCCACAACUGGCUUGCAUGGGAUAAAAAGUAGCACGCUUUAACUUCUAAAUAUAUUCUUCAAAUACCAGGCCAAGUUCAAACAGAAACUAACAUGAGAUGGGGAAUUUAAUAUUAUUACCUAAUCCUGGAAAGUAAAAUGAAACAGACAACAAUAUUA